UUCUCACCACAUACUCGUGAAUGGCUUGACACCAGCAUCGCCUCCGGGCGCAUAAUGGAGUCGCUGUUCAGUUUGACUUCAAGGAGCCAUCAAAUCCCCAUGAUGUCAAUUAUCUAGUCAACGGGUCUGAGAUCGAUUAAGCACCUGCAAACCUCGAUGUUUUGAGCCCUUCAAGGGAGCUCGACGGAGAGAUGGGUGUCUUAAGUCACUAUAUUCCAAAUCUUUUCGCAGAUGCCGUCGGCUUAUGAUGCUAAAGACUCACCAUGGUGAAUACAGAC
rnacentral:sRNA from 1 species